rnacentral:rRNA from 1 species
GGUUAAGCGACUAAGCGUACACGGUGGAUGCCCUGGCAGUCAGAGGCGAUGAAGGACGUGCUAAUCUGCGAUAAGCGUCGGUAAGGUGAUAUGAACCGUUAUAACCGGCGAUUUCCGAAUGGGGAAACCCAGUGUGAUUCGUCACACUAUCAUUAACUGAAUCCAUAGGUUAAUGAGGCGAACCGGGGGAACUGAAACAUCUAAGUACCCCGAGGAAAAGAAAUCAACCGAGAUUCCCCCAGUAGCGGCGAGCGAACGGGGAGCAGCCCAGAGCCUGAAUCAGUGUGUGUGUUAGUGGAAGCGUCUGGAAAGGCGCGCGAUACAGGGUGACAGCCCCGUACACAAAAAUGCACAUACUGUGAGCUCGAUGAGUAGGGCGGGACACGUGGUAUCCUGUCUGAAUAUGGGGGGACCAUCCUCCAAGGCUAAAUACUCCUGACUGACCGAUAGUGAACCAGUACCGUGAG